GACGAACGCUGGCGGCGUGCUUAACACAUGCAAGUCGAACGGAAAGGCCCUGCUUUUGUGGGGUGCUCGAGUGGCGAACGGGUGAGUAACAAGUGAGUAACCUGCCCUUGACUUUGGGAUAACUUCAGGAAACUGGGGCUAAUACCGGAUAGGAGCUCCUGCUGCAUGGUGGGGGUUGGAAAGUUUCGGCGGUUGGGGAUGGACUCGCGGCUUAUCAGCUUGUUGGUGGGGUAGUGGCUUACCAAGGCUUUGACGGGUAGCCGGCCUGAGAGGGUGACCGGCCACAUUGGGACUGAGAUACGGCCCAGACUCCUACGGGAGGCAGCAGUGGGGAAUAUUGCACAAUGGGCGGAAGCCGGAUGCAGCAACGCCGCGUGCGGGAUGACGGCCUUCGGGUUGUAAACCGCUUUCGCCUGUGACGAAGCGUGAGUGACGGUAAUGGGUAAAGAAGCACCGGCUAACUACGUG
rnacentral:rRNA from 1 species